UUGAUCCUGGCUCAGGAUGACGCUGGCGGUCUGUUACACAUGCAGUCGAACGGAACUUCGGGUUUAGUGGCGGACGGGUGAGUAAAGCGUGAGAAUCUGCCUCCAGGUCGGGGACAACAGCGGGAAACUGCUGCUAAUCCCGGAUGAGCCUAAGGGUAAAAGAUUUAUUGCCUGGAGAGGAGCUCGCGUCCGAUUAGCUAGUUGGUGAGGUAAGAGCUUACCAAGGCGACGAUCGGUAGCUGGUCUGAGAGGACGAUCAGCCACACUGGGACUGAGACACGGCCCAGACUCCUACGGGAGGCAGCAGUGGGGAAUUUUCCGCAAUGGGCGAAAGCCUGACGGAGCAAGACCGUGUGCGGGAGGAAGGCCCUUGGGUCGUAAACCGCUUUUCUUAGGGAAGAAGCUCUGACCGGUACCUAAGGAAUCAGCCUCGGCUAACUCCGUGCCAGCAGCCGCGGUAAUACGGAGGAGGCAAGCGUUAUCCGGAAUUAUUGGGCGUAAAGCGUCCGCAGGCGGCUUACCAAGUCUGCUGUCAAAUACCAGAGCUCAACUCUGGGUCGGCGGUGGAAACUGGCAAGCUAGAGUACAGUAGGGGUAGAGGGAAUUCCCAGUGUAGCGGUGAAAUGCGUAGAGAUUGGGAAGAACCACCGGUGGCGAAAGCGCUCUACUGGGCUGUAACUGACGCUGAGGGACGAAAGCUACGGUAGCGAAAGGGAUUAGAUACCCCUGUAGUCUUAGCUGUAAACGAUGGAGACUAGGCCGUGGCUUGUAUCGACCCGAGCCGUGCCGAAG
rnacentral:rRNA from 1 species